rnacentral:lncRNA from 1 species
UUCAAACAUGUGAGUUGGGGAGCGACAGGGGACCUACAUCUGUUCUUUGUUGUUUUUGCUCAUCCUAGCUUAUUUCCUUCUAUAUUUGCCAAUAGUUUUUGUGAGCUCACGUUUGUUGAAUUUAACCUGGGGAAAUCCUGAGUGUCUAAACUGGGGAUAUUUUGCUUCAGAGAGGAUUUGUAUUUUCACAGACCCCUUCAAUGUUUGCUUCAAAGGCCCCUGGCUUAAUGGAGGAGACUUGAUGUUAGCUCCCCAACCUUGCCAGCAGUCCAAAGCUUAGUCUCCAGGUGGUAGUUCUGAUCCUAGUACUAGCCUCGAGGCAUACAUAUAUUUCAAAUUGUUUAUUUCUCCCUGAUCCGGUUUCAGUUCACCUGUUUUCCGUUUCUCCCUUCCGCCUUCCCUCUCUACCUUUCUUCCUUCCUUUCCCCUUUCCUUUCUUGCUUACUUCCUCCUCUGUUUAGGCUGUGCUAAUAAAAGCACAGAACCAAAUAUAUGGAACACAGUAGCCCCACUGUACUCUGCAUUGAUCAGAGUGAAACACUGUGUACUUUUCCAAGAAGCCUUUUUUAAGGGGAUCAUGAUCAAAGUGAUGCACAUCCAGAGGUGUCAGCCAUAAAAAAAAGAUGAAGAACAGUUAGGUUUGUUUACUUCGUUUAGCUGUGAAAAGAGAAGGCAUAUUAACUCUUUCAAAUAUCUGAAAGGAUCUCAUGAGAGAAAUAAGACAUCUUUUAUUUUCCAGAAGCAGAACCAACAGGUGCAUCUAGCAAGAAAGUUCAUGUUAGCUCAACAUAAGAUGGAACUUAUGAUUAUACUUGUACAAAAUUGGAAUGGGCUGCCUUUGUGAAGUGUGAGCGCCUUCCUCUGAGCUCACGUGGAGGCAAGUGAGAGAGAUUUUAAAAUUCUCUCUGAGAGCUUGACAUGUGUCCCAGGUUUUGGAGCACCUGGUGAGUGGAGCUUAUUUCUAGCCUAGAAAUGUCUAAAGGUCAGAGACAUCCUGGAGGUGUGUAUGAUGGCAGAGCAUGGAGAGGAGCAGCCUGUGUUCCAGGGUUUGGAGGGCACCAAAAGUGCCAAGUGUUACCCUUGGCCAAGAAUGGAUACUGGAGAGAUUACGUGGGCAUGAACUGAUUUCGAAGGACUCUGCCCAAGAAGUCUGCCUGCUCGGAGGAGGCGACCUCAACAAUCAGGAGGAUGCAGUGCUCUCAGAAGGCCCUAGAGGAACCCACAAAAGCUACCCAUGAGUCACAUUUGCACAUCGUCACCCAGAGGGCCUUGACACCAGAUGCCAAGGAGGAAGCGGAGGACAAGAAAACGGAGAGAAGGAAGGAGGAAGAGAGAAAGAAGAGAAGAAGAGAAGGAGUAGAGCCUGGAAGAGGAAGGGGUUUGCAGUCCUGCUCAGGUCUUCUACGCAACCUCUUUAAGGAUCUGAUAAUUCUAAUCAAGAAAUACAUUAGCCUAGGCUCAGAUGACGAGAUUCCCGCUUCCUGAGCUGGUCUGCCUGCACUUAUCCUACAGAAAAAUCCAGUGUGAGCUACCUGAGCUGAAAAUUUCCCACUACAAGACUAUUACGGUGAAAAGAGACUAAUAUAAAUAGAAGGCAUUGCUUUAAGCCCUACACUUCAUUGGUUUGAUGAAGUUUGAGGAAAACAGGAAUAAAUCAAAUGUGUUGAGGAUCAGUAUUUCACAUUUAUAAAGUAUAAAGCUUAUUAAUGGUUUUUAAAUUUUAUUUUAUUAUUCUUUUUGAGGAAAAUUAGCCCUGAGCUAACAUCCGUGCCCAUUUUCCUCUCCUUUAUAUGUGGGAUGCCUACCACAGCAUGGCUUGCCAAGUGGUGCCAUAUCUGCACCCGGGAUCCAAAGUGGAACGUGCGCACUUAACCGCUGCGCCACCGGGCCGGCCCCUAUUAAUAGUUUUGAAGAGAAAAGAUUCUAUAUGACUACAAAACCAGCGUUAUCAUUGGUAACAUAUUCAAAUAUCUUUCCAACAUUUUUCUGAUUCAGACUCCUAAAUUUCGUAUUAAAAUGUGAUAAGAUAUUCACUAAAAAGACUUUGUAAACAGGCAAAGCUUGAAAAACAAUGAGUAUACUUAGGAAAUUUCACACAAACAACAAUCACAUUUUUGGGUACUUUUCCCAAAUGAAAAGGACAAAAUUAGGAUAUAAUAAUAAUAGUAAUAAUAGGAUAUAAUGAUAACAGUGCCUACUAGCUGCUGAGAGGGCUGAGCAUCUCUUAGGCACUGUUCUACCUGCUUUCAAUGUAUUUAUUAUCUUACUUAAUUCUCAC